CGGGGCAUGGCGCAGUCCGGCUAGCGCACCUGCUUUGGGAGCAGGGGGUCGCAGGUUCGAAUCCUGCUACCCCGA
rnacentral:tRNA from 1 species